UACGUAGGGUGCUAGCGUUGUCCGGAUUUAUUGGGCGUAAAGAGCUCGUAGGUGGCGGGUCACGUCGGGUGUGAAAGCCCGGGGCUUAACUCCGGGUCUGCAUUCGAUACGGGUCUGCUGGGGUCCGGCAGGGGAGACUGGAAUUCCUGGUGUAGCGGUGAAAUGCGCAGAUAUCAGGAGGAACACCGGUGGCGAAGGCGGGUCUCUGGGCCGGUACCGACGCUGAGGAGCGAAAGCGUGGGGAGCGAACAGG
rnacentral:rRNA from 1 species